AAGUAUUUCACUGGGCUUUCUGAGGGAUUUCUUUUUCCUCUGGCUGGUAGGGUAAGACUUCAAGGAUUUUCUCCCAUAGAAGAGGAGUGGAAGGAUGGACAGAGCAGUGCUGGAAUGAGAAAAUUGCACCAGUCUGGGUGCUCAAGGCAGAUGGACAUCCUUCCUGUCUGAAUGGUGACGGGCUUUCUCCGGGCUGGUGAGAAUGUUGUUCCACAGGACCAUCCAGUCAAGGAGGACACGUGAAGGGACCUUCCACCGUUCUCUUCUAAGACAAAGCUUAGCAAGACCGUGAGGAGGAAUGAUGGACUGCUCACGGUGGCACAACAAAGAAAAUUGUAAAAUGAAGCUCUCAGAUGUUUUCUGCUGCCUGUUGCGAGCAAGCUGCAUCCUGCGGACGGCGGAGAGCUCCGAGAGGCACCGUGCCCGCGGCGGGCUGGGGGCGCCGGAGCCGCCCGCGGGACCGCGCUAC